rnacentral:rRNA from 1 species
UACGUAGGUGGCAAGCGUUGUCCGGAAUUAUUGGGCGUAAAGCGCGCGCAGGCGGUCCUUUAAGUCUGAUGUGAAAGCCCACGGCUCAACCGUGGAGGGUCAUUGGAAACUGGGGGACUUGAGUGCAGAAGAGGAAAGCGGAAUUCCACGUGUAGCGGUGAAAUGCGUAGAGAUGUGGAGGAGCACCAGUGGCGAAGGCGGCUUUCUGGUCUGUAACUGACGCUGAGGCGCGAAAGCGUGGGGAGCAAACAGG